rnacentral:ncRNA from 1 species
GUCACUCUGGAAAGUAGACGGAUCUUGCCGUCUCACCGAAGGCGAAAGCCCGCACAGUUUUCGGGUGAAUCUCUCAGGUAUCCCGACAGAGGGGG